rnacentral:lncRNA from 1 species
CUGGCCCCUUCUAGCCUCUGUUUUCUUCGCUUUUUAUUCUCCGUACUGGUGGAUACCUCCAGGUCUUGAUUUUCUUGAAAAGGCACUGUUUAAUCUUUUGAAUCUUUAUCAAAAUAUUUUUCCAUACUUAAUAAUAGGUUAUGGUCAAGGAGGUAGUCAAAAAAUGAUAUAAUUGGGUUUAGAUUGGAUGCCCAACGAGGUUUGUGAAAUUUCCAGUGUAGAAAUUCACAA